UGCGCAGGCGGUUCGGAAAGAGAGGUGUGAAAUCCCAGGGCUCAACCUUGGAACUGCACUUUUAACUACCGAGCUAGAGUAUGUCAGAGGGGGGUGGAAUUCCGCGUGUAGCAGUGAAAUGCGUAGAUAUGCGGAGGAACACCGAUGGCGAAGGCAGCCCCCUGGGAUAAUACUGACGCUCAUGCAUGAAAGCGUGGGGAGCAAACA
rnacentral:rRNA from 1 species